CAGCCGCCGCGGUAAUACGUAGGGUGCAAGCGUUAAUCGGAAUUACUGGGCGUAAAGCGUGCGCAGGCGGUUCGCUAAGACAGAUGUGAAAUCCCCGGGCUUAACCUGGGAACUGCAUUUGUGACUGGCGGGCUAGAGUAUGGCAGAGGGGGGUAGAAUUCCACGUGUAGCAGUGAAAUGCGUAGAUAUGUGGAGGAAUACCGAUGGCGAAGGCAGCCCCCUGGGAUAACACUGACGCUCAUGCACGAAAGCGUGGGGAGCAAACAGGAUUAGAUACCCCCGUAGUCCCUGUCUCUUAUAC
rnacentral:rRNA from 1 species